rnacentral:misc_RNA from 1 species
GAUGAAGAACGCAGCGAAAUGCGAUAAGUAAUGUGAAUUGCAGAAUUCAGUGAAUCAUCGAAUCUUUGAACGCACAUUGCGCCCGCCAGUAUUCUGGCGGGCAUGCCUGUUCGAGCGUCAUUUCAACCCUCAAGCCCCAGGCUUGUGUUGGGGACCUGCGGCUGCCGCAGGCCCUGAAAACCAGUGGCGGGCUCGCUGUCACACCGGGCGUAGUAGAUUUUAUCUCGCUCAGGGCGUGCUGCGGGUUCCGGCCGUUAAAAAGCCUUUUUUACCCAAGGUUGACCUCGGAUCAGGUAGGAAGACCCGCUGAACUUAGGCAUAUCAAUAAGCGGAGGA